rnacentral:rRNA from 1 species
CCUACGGGAGGCAGCAGUCGAGAAUUUUUCACAAUGGACGAAAGUCUGAUGGAGCGACGCCGCGUGGAGGAUGAAGGUUUUCGGAUUGUAAACUCCUGUCACUGCAGAACAAGGGUGUGCCGGUUAACAGCCGGUGCACUUGAUGGUAUGCGGAGAUGAAGGGACGGCUAACUCUGUGCCAGCAGCCGCGGUAAU